rnacentral:tRNA from 1 species
AAUAAAGUGCCUGAAUAAAGGAUUAUUCUGAUAGGAUAAAUUAUGUAAUUAGUUUACCUUUAUUA